rnacentral:rRNA from 1 species
UACGUAGGUGGCAAGCGUUGUCCGGAAUUAUUGGGCGUAAAGCGCACGUAGGCGGUCUGUUAUGUCGGAUGUGAAAGCCCUUGGCUCAACUGAGGAAGUGCAUCCGAAACUGGCAGGCUAGAGUACUAAAGAGGGUCGCGGAAUUCCCGGUGUAGAGGUGAAAUUCGUAGAUAUCGGGAGGAACACCGGUGGCGAAGGCGGCGACCUGGGUAGAUACUGACGCUGAGGUGCGAAAGCGGUGGGGAGCAAACAGGG